rnacentral:rRNA from 1 species
CGGAGGGAGCUAGCGUUAUUCGGAAUUACUGGGCGUAAAGCGCACGUAGGCGGCUUUGUAAGUAAGAGGUGAAAGCCCAGAGCUCAACUCUGGAAUUGCCUUUUAGACUGCAUCGCUUGAAUCAUGGAGAGGUCAGUGGAAUUCCGAGUGUAGAGGUGAAAUUCGUAGAUAUUCGGAAGAACACCAGUGGCGAAGGCGGCUGACUGGACAUGUAUUGACGCUGAGGUGCGAAAGACGUGGGAGGCAAACAGGAUU